CCAACAGGGAUUGCCCCAGUAACGGCGAGUGAAGCGGCAACAGCUCAAAUUUGAAAUCUGGCCCCCAGGGUCCGAGUUGUAAUUUGCAGAGGAUGAUUUUGGCGAGGUGCCUUCCGAGUUCCCUGGAACGGGACGCCACAGAGGGUGAGAGCCCCGUCUGGUUGGACGCCGAGCCUAUGUAAAUCUCCUUCGACGAGUCGAGUAGUUUGGGAAUGCUGCUCUAAAUGGGAGGUAUAUGUCUUCUAAAGCUAAAUAUUGGCCAGAGACCGAUAGCGCACAAGUAGAGUGAUCGAAAGAUGAAAAGCACUUUGAAAAGAGGGUUAAAUAGUACGUGAAAUUGUUGAAAGGGAAGCGCUCAUGACCAGACUUGGGCCCGGUGAAUCAUCCAGCGUUCUCGCUGGUGCACUUUGCCGGGCUCAGGCCAGCAUCAGUUUGCCCCGGGGGAUAAAGGCUUUGGGAAUGUGGCUCCUCCGGGAGUGUUAUAGCCCAUUGCAUAAUAUCCUGGGGUGGACUGAGGUUCGCGCAUCUGCAAGGAUGCUGGCGUAAUGGUCAUCAGCGACCCGUCUUGAAA
rnacentral:rRNA from 1 species